GGAGCUGGAGAACUCCGGCCUGGAAACUCCCCCUCCCCCCCCGAGGCGGCAGGCCUAGGUUGGUCCCACUGCAGAAGCACAGCAGUAUGGAAAGCCUGCACAGUCAUUCUCCUUCCUGCUAUGGAUCGAGACUACUGCUUUCAUUUUGAUCACAAUAAAGGAUUCACUCUGACUUAAAAUGUUGUUUAAAAAAUUGCCGAUUUUGGAUCCAAUCCAGCAGAAAAAUAUCCAACAUUUUCUAGGCCUUAAGUCGCAGUAUGCCAAUCUUUCCAGGAUGAAUACCAGCCCACUGAGUGCCCAGAAGAGAUGGACAUGCUCUGCAUACUAGAUUUCUGGAGCUGCCAGGGUUAAAGAAGAGGAAUUGAAGAAGAGAAGUGCUCAUGGAAGCAAGUUCUUCCUUUCUCACUCUUUGUUACUCCCUAUCCUGGGACUGUGAAAUGCUGGCAGCCAUGGAGAGUUACUCCAGAAAUGAUUGAAUUCACUCAGCUAUGCAGCAUCAAAAAGGCUAGCCUAUGGAUUGGCUUUAAAAUUAUAAUCUUAUAUUAGAUAACUCUCCCAACCCCACCUGCAGUAUCAGCACUGACAGUCAUGAAGAUCCCAGUAUUUUCAGGCUAUGCAAUCACAAAGCUUCUUCAAAUACUAGGGGGGUGCACAAAGCUGAAGAACAGACUAAUUUUUCUCUAUUACUAGGGAACAGCUUCCAAAAACGCUGAGCAGUGGUGCAUCAGAAAUCAUAUAGGGCCCAUGAAAUUU